rnacentral:rRNA from 1 species
UACCCGCAGCACAAGUGGUGGUCAUUAUUAUUGGGCCUAAAGCGUCCGUAGCUGGCGUGUUAGAUGCCUGGGUAAAUCGAUGCGCUCAACGUAUCGAAUUCCGGGUAGACCGGCACGCUCGAGACCGGGAGAGGUGUAGGCUACUCGCGGGGUAGGGGUAAAAUCCUGUAAUCCUGCGGGGAGGACCAGUGGCGAAGGCGCUACACUAGAACGGCUCUGACAGUGAGGGACGAAGCCCUGGGGCGCAAACAGG